UGAUGCUGAGUCACAGUAUUGGAAAUGAAAUUGGCAUAUGAUUCAAGACACUGUAAAUCUUCAAUACCAAACUGUAAACCCUAAUAACAAAUAUGUCUUCCCUCUGAUGUUUCCUACAAGGUAGGCUGACAUUCAACUUAUUUCAGCCAUUGAGGUCAGCUGGAGAUCCUGACCAGCGUUAGUGACCUGCUGUCCCUGCUGUGGCCCUGUGUCUGGAGGUGAUCCAAGGAGACCCCGUUCAUCAUUUCUCUCUGCACCUACACCUCAUUUCAGCAUAAUCAAGACCAACUUAGAAAGGUUAGCUGUGGUCAGAAGAAAUUUAUGAAGAGUGGCUAUUAAGAGAGAGAGCACAUGUAUGCAGACUGUGUUUAAUAAUGUGGCUAUUCAGCCCACGUUCAUGUGACUCACGAGUGACCUAAGCAGUUUCUUCACAAAGCACACAUGGAAAGCACAGACACAGAGGCAAGUUGGGGGAGAGCCCUGGCAGGACCAUACCUCCUCACCCCAGGGCAGAUGGGCAUGAACUUGUCUGGAUGGACGCAUUCAAGGGGGACUGAAAGAGAUUGGGAGUUGAUUGGAUAGUCAGAGAUGGGUGCAGAAUUUAAACUCCUGGAUCAUAGAAAACUUAAUGACAUAGCAGAAAGAAUCGUAUAGCGGGCACAUUUUGUUGCUGAACAUGUUAGUCAAAUGUUGGUUGAUAAUUUCUGCCUACAACGUUAGCAAGAAUUUUGGUGAAUGGACUAUGAAAAGAUGGGCAGAGACACUAUCCGGGAUGCUGGAGAUACAGCAGUGAACAAAACCCACACACCCCUCUGCCCCCUGGGAGCUUCCAUCAAAGAGGGAGGUGGAGAAUAAACAAGACUCCCUGUGAUCUGGCUACAUGCUGUAAACUGCUCACAGUGGUUCCUGCCUCCACGCCUCAUGAACAUGGUUCCUGUGUGUAGCCCAAUGCCAACCAGUUCUUUCCUGACAUGACUUUGUCCUGGGACACCUGCUCUUUCUUGCCCUGGAGACUCAAUGAUUUUAUGUCUGGAGGUUGAUAAGUCACAAGAUAUCUGGAAUUAGGUGGGAGACCAUGCUGGUGACAUUUGGAAGAACCUGGCUGGGGAAGAAUGAAGCUCCAUUAUUUUUGUCUACUUUGCUAACAAUUCAGAGUUCUGAAAAGUCUGGAUCGCACUAUGAGAAGUUUGUGUGCUUAGUGAAAUGUUGUCCAAUUGGCCAAUCCACUUGGUCUUGGGAAAUGUCCUAGAAGCUUGGCAAGAAAAUGUUCUCAAGAGAGCACAAAUGCUGCCAAUUUCCAAUUGGCCAAGACACAUUACAAGGACAACCUUCUCUCCGAGCAACCUGGCAUUUCCACUCCAAUUGGAAUCUGCAACACAAAGAUGCACGCGGGGGAAAGACUAAGUAAACAAACCUUUCAGAUUUCCGCUCCAGCCAGUUGCCUGGUACCAUGAUGUCACCUACUACUGUUUAGUUUCCAUCCACCAGGUCUACACUAGUGAAUACUCCAGGACCAGUAAAGUCACUUGUUUGCCAGCAGCAGCAGUUAUUUCUGCAUUGACCAAGCUGGUACUUUGCUCAUCAUCAAACCCAGUCCAAGUAUAGGUGGCUGCUUCUGGAAUUAACUUCCAAACGCUGGAUGGAAGUCAGGUGUGUUUUCAUCGGGUCCGUGCAAAUCUAGGCAUUGAGUUGAUGUUGUGGAUAUAACAGGAUUGAUUUCUGGCCUUUGGGGAGCCAGCACACAGACAAUGAAGCAGGAAAACAUGGUGACCUAUGAUCCACCAGAAUGGAAGCUCCAUGAAUGCAGGAUGGUGCUUUUUUCUGCUUUUGCUCACUACUGUAUCACAAGCCCUUAGGGCUUGCCUGCAAGCAGUAGGUACUCAACAAGUAUUUGUUGAAAGGUUGAAUAUGAUAAGAGAAAAGUAGAAAGGUGACCAAACGUGGGAUAGAAAGGAAUGUUAACCAGAGGAAGUGACAUAUAACAACCCCCUAAAGCAUAAGUGAGUUAGCCUGGAAAAGUAGGGAGAUCAUGAUUUUUUGCUUUUCACUUGCUUUGUAUUUGGGGUCUGUACUGCUUCCUGUGAUGUCUCCAUAGCUAAAUUCUUUUAUUUUUAUUUAGUUUCUGACAAACUGACAUGCAGUAAGUAUGGAUCUUUAUUUAGCAUUUGCAAUGUCCAAAGUGGAAUUCUUAACCGAAGCUACUACUAGCUUCUGACUAUUUAGGUCUCCUGAGAUCGCUGAGGCCAGGUCCUGCGUGCUUAAUUGAAUACGUCACUUAUGUAUGCAUUCACGUAUUCAUUCGUUAUACACAUGUUUGUUCAGCACCCACCAUAUGCAAGAUAGUAGCUAUGUACUAAGGUGCCAGCAGAGACUGAUCAAGGAAUUGACAGUUCCCCAGAUUUGAGAGUUUAUGGGGGAAAUUGAUGAUAGAAGAAUAAGGUUUUGAACAGCCGUGGUCUGUGUCCAGUCCAUUAGCAAGCGAUUUUGGCAUAAGCAGCAUAGAAAUUAGCAGGUCAUGCAACUAGAUCUUUCCCUUCUGUAGUUGAAUCAAAUUAUCUCUUAGGGCGCCUGGUUGGCUCAGUUGGUUGAGUGUCUGACUUCGGCUCAGGUCAUGAUCUGAGCAU